rnacentral:rRNA from 1 species
AUUUACCGCUUGCGAGCGGCCGAGCACAAGCAACUCGCACGAUGGGCGGACGAGUAAGUAAUGUCUGGGAACCUACCCGAUGGAACGGGAUAACUACUGGAAACGGUAGCUAAUACCGCAUACCCUCGGAUGUGCCCAGAUGGGAUUAGCUAGUAGGUGGGGUAACGGCUCACCUAGGCGACGAUCCCUAGCUGGUCUGAGAGGCUGACCAGCCACACUGGAACUGAUACACGGUCCAGACUCCUACGGGAGGCAGCAGUGGGGAAUAUUUCACAAUUGGCGCAUGCCUGAUGCAGCCAUGCCGCGUGUAUGAAGAAGGCCUUCGGGUCGUACAGUACUUUUAGCGAGGAGGUGUUACUCGCCGAAGAAGCCCCCGCUAACUCCGUGCCAGCCGCCGCGGUAAUAC